rnacentral:rRNA from 1 species
GAUGAACGCUAGCUACAGGCUUAACACAUGCAAGUCGAGGGGCAGCAUGAACUUAGCUUGCUAAGUUUGAUGGCGACCGGCGCACGGGUGAGUAACACGUAUCCAACCUUCCGUUUACUCAGGGAUAGCCUUUCGAAAGAAAGAUUAAUACCUGAUAGUAUGGUGAGAUUGCAUGAUAACACCAUUAAAGAUUUAUUGGUAAACGAUGGGGAUGCGUUCCAUUAGGUAGUAGGCGGGGUAACGGCCCACCUAGCCUGCGAUGGAUAGGGGUUCUGAGAGGAAGGUCCCCCACAUUGGAACUGAGACACGGUCCAAAACUCCUACGGGAGGCAGCAGUGAGGAAUAUUGGUCAAUGGGCGAGAGCCUGAACCAGCCAAGUAGCGUGAAGGAUGAAGGUCCUACGGAUUGUAAACUUCUUUAUACGGGAAUAAAGUUUCCUACGUGUAGGAUUUUGUAUGUACCGUAUGAAUAAGCAUCGGCUAACUCCGUGCCAGCAGCC